rnacentral:tRNA from 1 species
AUCUUAGUAAUAUAAUAGAUUAUAGUAUGUUUUCAACAUACCGAUAGGCACGGCCUCUAAGAUA